GAGAGAAGCAGGGAGGAGUGUAAAAAUGAAUUUAACGUCCGGCUCAUUCCCAGAUUGGCUACAGCUCUGCUUCUUGCCCAAGACAGUAACAGAGCAGCCCAUUUGGAGCAUCUGGUUUCUUGGCAGAGAGAGAAACAAGAUCUUGUAAACCAUGAGCAGUCUUUCAAAACUUCUGUUUCAGGAGAACACACAUCAUUUCCAUCUAGUUUCUUUAGAAAAAUUACACCCAGCAAGACUGCUUCUCCUGCCUCC
rnacentral:lncRNA from 1 species